rnacentral:rRNA from 1 species
UAGAGUUUGAUUCUGGCUCAGAGUGAACGCUGGCGGUAGGCCUAACACAUGCAAGUCGAACGGCAGCACAGUAAGAGCUUGCUCUUACGGGUGGCGAGUGGCGGACGGGUGAGGAAUACAUCGGAAUCUACUUUUUCGUGGGGGAUAACGUAGGGAAACUUACGCUAAUACCGCAUACGACCUACGGGUGAAAGCAGGGGAUCUUCGGACCUUGCGCGAUUGAAUGAGCCGAUGUCGGAUUAGCUAGUUGGCGGGGUAAAGGCCCACCAAGGCGACGAUCCGUAGCUGGUCUGAGAGGAUGAUCAGCCACACUGGAACUGAGACACGGUCCAGACUCCUACGGGAGGCAGCAGUGGGGAAUAUUGGACAAUGGGCGCAAGCCUGAUCCAGCCAUACCGCGUGGGUGAAGAAGGCCUUCGGGUUGUAAAGCCCUUUUGUUGGGAAAGAAAUCCAGCUGGUUAAUACCCGGUUGGGAUGACGGUACCCAAAGAAUAAGCACCGGCUAACUUCGUGCCAGCAGCCGCGGUAAU